rnacentral:lncRNA from 1 species
AGGGGCGGGGCCCGUGGCCGGUAAAGGCCACGCGGCGCUCCUAGCGGGUGCUAGUACUGGCGCGGGAGGCGGGAGGUUGGAGGCGAGGAGCUCGCGGCCUAGGCUGUUUGGGUCCCUGGCGCGAGCUGUAGACGGAGAGAGGGGUCCGGAGAAGGAGGGGUGAAAGUAGCAGUUAGCCCGCGAUCUCAGAAGGGCUGCCCGCCCCUCACGGUCCCUUAAUAGCACGUUGCGUCCUGGAAGUUCUAAAACGUCCCGCUUCAAUAUGAAUUUUAAAUUAGUGAAAACAUAUGUGUAUUGUUUUAGGCUUUCCCACCGCGGGGACGGCCCUCCGGGGGUUGACUUAGCUGGGAUGCAGAAUAGAAGCUGGGCCUUUGUCUGACUACCCUGCAACAGUCAGCCACAGACGGGAAGGCAGCGCAGGAAACUGAGGCCAAAGGAGCCGCGCUUCCUCAUGAGCAUGAAGCGGCAAAGCCUGAACUAGAAGCUUCUAACGCCUAACCGUCCUCUUGCCGCACCAGGACCUACCUCUGCAAGGCCCUUCCUGACUUUUUCCUUAGAAUGUGUGUAUAUGUGUCUUUUUCCUUUUCUGAUGCUAAGACACCUCAGAAACACCAAUGUUAAGCAGAUUUCCAUCGUUGGAGGUUAAAACACCCGAAUACAAGUGUUUUCUUGAGUGUGGCAUCUGGUCAGAUGUUUUAUGGGUUGGUUUGUUUUUAAAAAAAAAAAAUUUCCUGUUAGAUGGGUGGUAAGAACCAGUCAGAGUUUGUAAACCCACCAAGCACGAGGCGGUCGGACCGUCCAGAUUCUGGAGUCCAGAAGACACCAAACGUUCUCAGAAUGCCGAACGCGGGCGCCACCUGGUGGGACUAGAACGCUUAUUGUCCCAAAUCAGCAUAGCACACAGUUCCCAUAAAUCUUAAAAAUUCCCAUCCAAGGCUCAUUUCCGUGUGACUAAAAGUCAUAUUCUCUGUUCUCGUGACUCCAAGUAAAAAUGUCCCUAAAGAGCCAAAGUAUCUUCACUGUAUAAACUAAUAAUCUAUUGGUUUGGGGAAUUUUAUUUUUUGUGAUCAAUGUUACUUUAGCCUUUCUAUGAUAUACAUAUAAAUAAAAAAGUUUUCUUCCAUGAUGAUUUUUUAAA